AGCAAGAGAAUGUGAAAAGACUCAAAGCAAUCUUUGUUGCCUUCCUCACCUUCAGGCUAUUGUGGACUCUGAAAGCACAGGAUGUCACAUGUGAAGAACUGGAAUGGGGAAGGAUGCUGAGUGACACUGACAUUACAAGUAUAAUUACUUUGGGACUUGCUGCUGUUUCUCUUCUAAAUCAUAAAGCUGUCAUUGCUCAGCCAGGUAUAGUAAAUACUGGUGUGGCUCUGCAGCUUGUAUGGGUGUCAUCUCUGAUUCAGAAGUUAUGAGGAACAAAUCUAGAUGGGUGAAUAGAUUGAAAUAUGAAUUAAUUAAUGCUGACUUAAAAAAAUGAGAAGUUGCCUGAAUAUUCAUAGUUAGAGUAUUAAUAUAUAUAUAUGUUAGUGAUGGCUGUGCUGCUGAGCAGGCAUUUCUCUCCCACCAGGGAUGUUUUCCCGUGACUGCACCUUGUAUAAGUCACAGUUUUGGCCCUUGCAGAUAAAGACAUUCUCCUUAUUCUGGGAUGUAGUAAUUGUCUCCAAGGAUGACUCUUGCCUCAGAAACGAGCAGCAGGAGU